GAGGCGACGAUGCGUAGGGGUUCUGAGAGGAAGGUCCCCCACACUGGUACUGAGACACGGACCAGACUCCUACGGGAGGCAGCAGUGAGGAAUAUUGGUCAAUGGGCGGGAGCCUGAACCAGCCAAGUCGCGUGAGGGAAGACGGUCCUAUGGAUUGUAAACCUCUUUUGCCGGGGAGCAACGGGGUCCUUGCGAGGGCCUAAUGAGAGUACCCGGAGAAAAAGCAUCGGCUAACUCCGUGCCAGCAGCCGCGGUAAUACGGAGGAUGCGAGCGUUAUCCGGAUUUAUUGGGUUUAAAGGGUGCGUAGGCGGGCUGUUAAGUCAGCGGUCAAAUGUCGGGGCUCAACCCCGGCCUGCCGUUGAAACUGGUGGCCUCGAGUGGGCGAGAAGUAUGCGGAAUGCGUGGUGUAGCGGUGAAAUGCAUAGAUAUCACGCAGAACUCCGAUUGCGAAGGCAGCAUACCGGCGCCCGACUGACGCUGAGGCACGGAAGCGUGGGUAUCGAACAGGAUUAGAUACCCUGGUAGUCCACGCAGUAAACGAUGAAUGCUAGCUGUCCGGGGCUUCGGUCCUGG
rnacentral:rRNA from 1 species